rnacentral:rRNA from 1 species
GACGAACGCUGGCGGCGUGCUUAACACAUGCAAGUCGAACGGAAAGGCCCUGCUUUUGUGGGGUGCUCGAGUGGCGAACGGGUGAGUAACACGUGAGUAACCUGCCCUUGACUUUGGGAUAACUUCAGGAAACUGGGGCUAAUACCGGAUAGGAGCUCCUGCUGCAUGGUGGGGGUUGGACAGUUUCGGCGGUUGGUGAUGGACUCGCGGCUUAUCAGCUUGUUGGUGGGGUAGUGGCUUACCAAGGCUUUGACGGGUAGCCGGCCUGAGAGGGUGACCGGCCACAUUGGGACUGGGAUACGGCCCAGACUCCUACGGGAGGCGGCAGUGGGGAAUAUUGCACAAUGGGCGGAAGCCUGAUGCAGCAACGCCGCGUGCGGGAUGACGGCCUUCGGGUUGUAAACCGCUUUCGCCUGUGACGAAGCGUGAGUGACGGUAAUGGGUAAAGAAGCACCGGCUAACUACGUG